AGUCGCGUCGUUCAACAGGAAGGAUGCCGGAAUACGAAUCCGGGGAUUGGGGUUCGAAUCCCUGCGUGACUA
rnacentral:tRNA from 1 species